CAAAAAUGAUGGAAAUUCCGUUUCCACCGUGGAAUAGAGGAAACGGAACUUUGGUUUCUUUGUGUGUCUUGACAUAUGAAGGGAUUGAGAAUAAAGCAGACUUUGACUUUUGACAUGGUCACAUUGUAAAAAUAUCGUAUAACAAUACAAUUAAAUGGGCAUUUUCUAAUGCAAUCCUGACUGCUGGUCAAUCAUUUGAAAAGAUUCAGAGUUUGUUGUUUCCGCAGCCGGUUGCCCACAGCACCUGCGGGGACAGCGAGGUACAGUUAUGUGCGGCUCCUGCGGAUUCUCCCCGAACAAGCCCAACAACGGCAGCUCCGUAUCCACGGCUUCCCGCUCCUACCGUACUGGUGGCAUCUCAGAGGGUUUGCUGCCUCAUUCCUACUUCUUGUUUUUAUAUUGUGUCGUUUACUUGUAUGUCUAUCGUGUACUAUGUCUCGUCAACGUGGGAUAGAGGAAAGUGCGGGGGGACCAAAAAAAAAAGAGUGUAAUAUCGGUUUCACCAGUAUAUAAUUGAAACCGGAAGGUAUUCGGACAUCCCUGCGGUCAGUAGAAUAUAUAACGGCUGUGCAAUGAGAAGUCAAGACAUGUUCCACGAGAGCAGGCGGUCAAGGCAAGAGUAAUCUCGACGCAACAUGCCCAACAUGUGUAAGUCAGUGAUGAAUGUUUCUUGAAUUUUCUUCCUCUUUUGCCAUUCUUUCAUGAUUUUCUUGUGCUUCCACAUUAGACACGCAAAUUCUCGCGGUGGGCUUGGUGGCUUUUCUAGUACUGCGAGCCAAUGGCGCUCCGUUGACAGAAGCGACCACCGUCUUGCCAUCAAGCGACACCUCAAGUGAGGAGGAAACGGCGCCCUCUGACCUGCUGACCUCCGCUCAUGUUUGGGACUCGGUUCUGGGUACCGCUAAAGAACACCAGAAAGCUUUUGAUGAUGAAUUCCAAAACAAUGUCAACUUUCAUUUACUGGAGCAUUACAAAGCACCUCAGUUUCCAGCAAACUGCCCCAGCUCCAACUUUAGCAAGGAGGCUUGCCUGCACAGGCUGGCCCAAGGUCUGUCCACUUACAUAAUUCUUCUCAAGCACGUGGAGAAGGAAUAUCCCGGCAGUAAAAUUCUGUCUGAGGCCAAACACUACUCUGAACUCCUGCUCUACAAUAUCAAACAAAAGAUGAGAAAACCAGAAGAGGUCACAGGCCUGAGUAGCAAUGAGGAAGAGAGCCUAUUGAGGUCACUGUACCACCCC